rnacentral:lncRNA from 1 species
UGAAUUCUAACUACCUCUUUAAGAUAAAUGAUGGAAUAAUCCUCCAUCACCUAAAUGAGUAAUCUUCACUACAAUACAAUACCAACAUGUAUUUACCAAGGACUUAGUAAAGCUCCAAAUCAACCUGGAGCUCACCAAAAGUAUCAUAGUGUCGUAUGUUCCUACUGAAGAGGUCUACUAGCUGGAGUGCAUGUGCCUGCAUCAAGAAAUGCAGUGUCCCCAGCAAGGGACAUCAGUACAAAAAAAUGUAUUGAAUAUGUAAGGCAAUAUAGCAUAUGUAAUACGAGGGCUCAAAUGAAAUCAAGUAUCAACAUAUGAGUGCAUAGAUAAGCAGAGAAGACCACCUUUGCUUAUUCUUGUGAGAUCAUGUAAGUUACAUUGUUUUCUUUACUUUUGUGUACGUUAUAAUCUUUGUAGGGCAUUUUAUACAAGUGACAAGCUAAUCAGUGGUGGAAGAGGAUGACCCAUGCUAGGCAUAUUAACCCGUGGGUUGCGGUCCUCAUAAUUACACAAUUUGGGAUUGGCCCAUGCUAGGCUUUCUCCCCUGAGCUGCCACCCUUAUGUACCAGUUGGGAUCGACCCAUGCUAGCUUUCACCCUUGGGCUGCCACCUGUAAUUAUAUUGAUUUCGUCACUUAGAUUUCUUUAAUCCUUGAGAUUCAUUUUUAUCAUUUCAUAACUCUUUUGGGAUCGUUCUUUGGAUAAUCGUAACUCUUUUGAUAUGUUAUUUUGGUGGUCAUAAUAAUUUUGGAGAUAUGGAAAUUCGGACAAUUAAUAGAAUACAUGAAAAUAAUACUUCAAGGCAAUAAUAAUGACAUAAGCAGGUAACCAACUUAAGAACAUUAUUUAAGAGUUUAAUGACACAAUUGACUUCAAACAACAAAGAGGGGGGAAAUUUUGUUAGCUAUUUGGAGACAGUACGCUGCCACUAUGUUUCCUUUUCCAGGAAUAAAAUUUAUGAGAUUCACUUCAUUGGUAUUAAUCGCAAGUAUCAAAUUUCAUGCCAAAUGGUUAUAGAAUCGAAUAGACUUACAUACCUUAUCCUCAAACUUAUAUACUAUCACGAUUCAACCUCUCCUUUAUUGUUUUAAUAUACAAUUUAAGUCAUGGAAAACUAAAAUUAGCAGUUAUCACACCAUGAGCCUCGUAAAAUAGUAGCUAAAUUUGAAAGAUAAUGAUCCCAUACAACCCUUAACAUAAUGUGUAUCACCACACCGUCAUUCUCUUGUACAAAUAGAACAGCCCCAAAUAUUCUUUAUCACACAACCAACUAUUGAACUCACCAACCCCUUGAGUUCUUCAUGACAGCACACCACUAAUUCCUCACUCAAACUCUUACACAUGGAAGACAAAAAUGGAGCAGUCACCUUACCUCAAUUUUGGCAACUCCUUAUAACUUGAAUUCUUUUAGAACUUCAGCUUCCCUUCAUACUUAAACCAAAGAAGAAAGAAAGGCAUUUUAAUAACUGAGGAAGUGAGCAGUAGCUGGUAGAAAUAGUCUACAUUUGUAGUUAUAUUAGAGCAUGAAUAACAUGUUCCCCUAAUCAUUCAUUGGAGAAUUAAGCUAAAUCCAUGAGUUUUCACUUGCCUUGAUUUGCAUAUAUGAGGGUUUCUUCAUGAACCCUAGAAAACUUUAAGGCUGCUGGUUAAUCUUUAAGAGAAAAGAGAGAGAGAGAGAAAGACAGAGAGACAGCGAGAGGGAGAGAGAGAAUGUGUGUGUGUGUGAGAGAGAGAGAGAGAGAGAGAGAGUUGGAGUAAUUCUUAUUUUUAUGUGUUAAAAUGGGUGAAGGAUAUCUGCUCAUAUUGGAUAUAUAUGGAGCUUGACCAAAAAAAUAUCCUCUAGAACCUCCUUUUCUUGAGGUCCAUUUUCAGCCAGUAAUUGGUCAAGUAGGUGAUGGACCUGCUUAUGCACAUCAAGUAGCUCAAAAGAUCAAACAAGGUGAUGCACCUAGUUGCUUUCACUUGCGAUUUAUCUAUAUUGGGCCUUGGCAGAUUUUGGUACUGGACUUUCUUUUAUUUUUAUUUUCUUUUAAUAAAUUUGGGCUUCAAGUGAGACCAUUACUAUAAUUCUAAAUCUGGUCCAUCAAGCUUUGGCCCUUUAUUGUAGCUCAAGUAGGUGAUACAGCUGCUAGCUUAAUAAAUCCAAGAAAGAAGCUCAAUUAUUUUAUUAAAUUUUAUGAAUAUUACAUCCUUUUGCUUCAACUUAGAACUUAACUUUCAAAUUUAAUCUUAAUUACCACCUUACUGUCUCUAGUUUAAAUACAUCUAGCGGAGUCAACUUACAAUAAAUACAUUGAAACGUGCAUAUCACGAUACAUCACUUUCCGGCUAGUUUAACCAACACUAAUCAUGUAAGGAACAUGAUUCCUCAUCUAUACUAUAAGGCCAUCCGUAUCUCAAGAAUAGAACAAGCAUAUGCAUAAGACGGGCUAUUACAUCCUCUCCUCCUUAAACAUUCAUCCUCGAAUGUUACCAUAGUUAUCCAGCCCAAACAGAUUCAAGCCUAAGUUAGAACUACAAUUAAUCACAUAAUUCAUAUAGAUGUAUACUUACUAGUCGGCACAUAAACUAAGCAUUUUCAUCUUUCUCUUGGAUCUGAAAGAGAUGAGGAUACUUCAAUUUGAUUGCUUCUUCCGCUUCCCAUGUAACUUCUUCUACUUGUUCGUUCCUCCAUGACACUUAUGCAGAAGCUACCUCUUUAUUUCUUAACUUCCUAACUUUAUCUAGAAUAGCAAUGGGUACUUCUUCAUAAGUGAGAUCUCCCGUAACAUGUACAUCUUCAGUAGGAGUAACAGGAGAUAGGUCCCCUACGCAUUUUCGUAGCAUUGAGAUAUGAAACAACGGAUGAAAUGAUGAAAGCUCUUGUGGUAGUUCUAACUCAUAGGCUACUUGGCCGAAUUUUUGAAUAAUAUUUUAUGGACCUUAUAGCGCCGACUCAACUUUCCCUUUUUACCAAACCACAUUACCCCUUUCAUUGUAAACACCUUGAAGAACACCCAAUCCCUAUAGAAAACUCUAGUCCUCUCCUUCUAUUAUCCGCACAUGAUUUAUAUCGACUUUGAGCUGUUUCUAGCCGCUGAUGUAUUGCUUUGACUUUUUCCAUAGCUUGAUGAACAAGAUCUAUCCCAAAUAAGGCAGUUUCACUUGUUUCAAACUAGCCAAUUAGUGAUCUACACUUUCGACUAUGUAAGGCUUCAUAAGGUGCCAUUUUAAUGCUCGUAUGGUAGCUAUUGUUAUAAGCAUAUUCAAUAAGAGGUAGGUGAUCAUACCAGCUACCCUUGAAAUCUAAUAUGCAAGCUCGCAGCAUAUCCUCAAGUGUCUGAAUUGUACGUUCUGCCUGGCCAUCCAUUUAAGGGUGAAAGGUUGUAUUUAAAUUCACUUUUGUUCUCAAACUCGUUUGGAACGACUUCUAAAAAUUUGUAGUGAAGUAGGCUCCUCUAUCAUAUAUUAUAGAGAUUGGCACUCCAUGUAGUUGAACUAUCUCUUUAAUGUACAACCUCGCAUACUCUUCAACUGUAUAAGUAGUCUUCACCAGCAAGAAGUGUGCUGCUUUGGUGAGUAUGUCGACUAUUACCCAUAUGGAGUCAAACUUCUGGAAUGAGAGAGGCAAACCAGUGACAAAAUCCCUGUUGAUCAUGCCCCAUUUCCAAAUAAAAAGUUCUAUAUGCUUCAUAUAACCUCCUGGCCUCUGGUGCUCUACUUUUAAUUGUUGACAAUUUGGACACUGAGCCACCAAUUCUGCAAUGCUCCUCUUCAUGUCCCCCCACCAAUACAUUUCUCUCUAGUCAUGAUACAUUUUAGUUGACCCCGAAUAAACAGAAUAUCUUAAAUGAUGCUUCCAUCAUGAUCCUCUUUCUUAGUUCAUCUACAUUAUGUACACACAAUCUGUUUUGACAUCGAACUACUCCCUCUUGCCUUUGUCAAACCAUGUUGUUUAUUCUCCUUAAGCUGUAAAAGAAUAGGAUCAGUGCACUGCUUCUCUUUCACUUCCACUACUAAUAAGAAUUCUGCCGCAUUUUGCACAAUAACCCCUUCAUCUUACAAUUCAUGAAGGCAAACCCCCAAACUAGCUAGUUGACAUAGAUCCUUAGUUAUUCCUUGUCAAUCCACAGACUACCCAAAAGUACUUGCUAGUAUUUUACGGCUUAAAGCAUCAGCUACUACAUUUGUUUUACUGGGAUGAUACAAGAUAUCAAUGUCAUUAUCUUUUAAUAGCUCCAACCACCUUCACUGCCUGACAUUUAAGUCCUUUUGCUUAAAGAUAUAUUACAAACUCUUAUCAUUAGCGUAAAUGUCAAUAUGAACUACAUAUAAGUAGUGGCGCCAUAUCGUCAAAGCAAACACAAUUGUUGCUAGAUCUAGAUCAUGGGUUGGAUAAUUUUUCUUAUGUGGACGCAGCUGGCUUGAGACAUAAGCUAUAACUUUACUAUGAUGAGUCAAUACCCAACCUAAGCCCACUCCCGAAGCAUCAAUAUACACUGCAUAGCCUUCUGUGCCUUCUAGAAGUACCAACACAGGUGUAGAAGUUAAUUUACUCUUCAGCUCUUUGAAGCUUCUUUCACACUCAUCACUCCACUGAAACUUGGUUUCUUUGUGUGUAAGAUUUGUCAACGGUGAAGAAAUGGAAGAAAAUCCUUCAACGAACCUUCUGUAAUAACCUUCCAAUAAAAAAAAUACGGAUCUCUGUAGGUGUUGUAGGUCUUGGCCAGCUUUUCACAGCUUCUAUUUUCUGGUUAUCAACCCUUACUCCUUCCUCGGAUACAAUAUGACCUAAGAAUGCCAAAAAUUUCAACCAGAACUCACAUUUAGAGUUUACUUUGCUUAUAGUUUACGAUCACAAAGAAUUUGUAAAACCUACCACAAGUGAUUAGAAUGAUCCUCUUCCAAUCUUGAAUUCACAAACAUGUCAUCUAUGAACACUAUCACGAACACAUCUAAAAAUGGCUUGAACACCGUAUUCAUCAAAUCCACAAAAGUUGUUGGUGCAUUUGUUAGCCCGAGUGACAUGAUUAAGAACUCAAAAUGACCAUACCGUGUUCGUAAAUCUGUCUUGGGUAUAUCUUUGUCCAUGACCCUCACUUGGUGAUAAUCUGACCUCAGAUCGAUCUUUGAAAAACGCCUAGAACCUUGUAACUGUCAAACAAAUCAUUACUUCUAGGGAGGGUAUAUUUGUUCUUAAUUGUUACCUUAUUCACUAUCGGUAGUCUAUACACAUUCUUAAUGAUCCAUCUUUCUUGCGUACAAAUAAAAUUGGUGCUCCCUAUGGGGACAUACUAGGCCUUAUGAAUCCUUUUUCUAAGAAAUCUUUUAAUUGCUCCUUCAACUCCCGUAGUUUGGCCGGAGUCAUUCUAUACGGAGGAAUCGAGAUAGGUUAAGUAUCUGGAAGCACAUCAAUACCGAACUCUACUUCACGUUCUGGAGGCAAACCAUGAAGAUAUUCAGGAAACACAUCUGGAAAAUCAUUUACCCCGAAAUGGAUUGAAGGGUUGGUGACUCCACAUCUAAAUUUUUUACUCUAACCAUAUGAGAUAUGUAUCCUUUGGAAAUCAUCUUCUUUGCCUUAUGAUAAGAAAUAAAUUUACCUCUUUGCGCCCCAAUACUAUAUUUACAUUCGAGUACUACCUCUUUUGGAAACUAGAAAUGCACUAUCUUAGUUCGGCAAUCUACCGUGGCAUAAUAAUAAGCUAACCAAUCCAUAGCCAAUAUAACAUCAAAAGCUACCAUGUCUAGAUCAACAAGGUCAGCCAAUGUAUUAUGAUUACAAACAGUUACAAUACAAUUACGAUAAACAAUUCUAGCUAUAAUAGACUCACCAAUUGGUUUAGACAAUUCAAAUGGCUUCGGAAAUAAUUUUGAUGCUCUUUUGAACUUUCCAACAAUCAACGGUGUAACAUAUGAUAGUGUAGACCCCAGAUCAAUUAAUGCAUAUACAAUAUGUGAAAAGAUGGACAAUGUACCUGUAACCGCAUCUGGCGAGGCUUCUUAAUUUUGUCGAUCUCCUAGUGCAUAUGUACGAUUCUGACAUCCACUAGAGCUUGUUACUCCCCUAGUUCCGCUACCACAACCUCUAGGAAUCUGUACCCCCCUACCCAAAGACGGUGUUGAUGAGUUUGAUGCAACAACUAAUCUAGUUGGCUGUGCAACGCCACCCAUGCCCCUAUGAGGGCAGUUUCUCAUAUAUGCCUUGGUGCGCCACACCAAAAACAAACAUAUGUCCUAAACCUACAUGCACCGGAUGAUUCCUCCCACACUAUUUACAAGGCUGUCGAAGAGGCCUUGAUUGGCUCGUACUUCCCUGUUUCUAACUCUUGUAUCCUUUUGCUUUGCCUUUUACCCUCUAACUUUUUCCCAAAGGCCUGCAUCCUUGCUGUAUCCAUAUCUUUAUUCAAUGAAGCAGUGGUACAGUCUCCAACUAAAUAUGGGUCGAAUUUAUCCACAUAUCGAUGAACUCUAUCCUCCGUGGUAGCUACUACAUUAGGAGCAUAUCUUGCUAAGGAAAUGAAUUUGAGACUAUACUCUCUCACGCUCAUACCUCUUUGGUGGAGAUUUAACAACUGAUCCGCAUGGGCCUUUCAGAUCUCCAAUGGAAGAUAAUGCUCAAGGAAUGCCUUUUUGAACUCUUUCCACGUAGCUGAAGGUGCAUAUAUUCCCCUAGAUUACUUCAAAGCUUCAUAAUCUAUAUGCUGCUAGCUCAAGUGCUUUUAUACCACUAGCAUGCAUAAUAUCCAAAACUCAUUUAUCUGAUCUAUAAAGUCUUGCAUCCUACAUUAGGAUCUGACUUGGUGAGUGAUGGAGGGUCCAAGUUAAGAAAAUCAUGUAUCAGUGUUCCAGCUGCUCUAUCUACACCACUAUACGAGUUAAUAAUUGGAGUACAUUCCUCAAAUCUUGCUCGGUAGCAUUAAUAGGAUGUUCCUGAGGUUCAUCUUCCCUCCUUAGUUCUUCAGGAGAUGGAGGCGUCGGGGAAGUCUGCGAUAGAGACUCAUCUUGAGAUGCACUUUGAACAGCUUGACUUAGUGGUGGUUGGUUGGGUCCCUUUUUAGGGAGCCACAUCUACUCUCUUACCAGUAAUUUUACUCCUUCUCGUAACCAGCAUCUUUCUUAUAACAAAACAAUUUAGAAAUUAAAUAUAAUUCACCUACAACAUUGGUUCUAUCGCACUAACUAAGAAAUGAGACAAAUCUUACAUGUCCCGUAGCCUCCUGUUUAUAGAUAUGGUGCACGACACAUCCAUAGGCAAGACCCUACACAGACACAGUUUUGUAGACUCCCUAGUAUGACUUGCUCUGAAACCACUUUUGUCACGCCUCAAAAACAAUUAAGAUGGACAGACACCCGAAGCCCUAAGGUCCCGAGAGAACCAACCUGAAGUCUGUUCUUACUUUGCAUAUAACUAUAACAAUCAUGACAAGUUCAUAAAGGACACAACGAUAAAAACCACAUAAGUAGACCCAAAUAUUUAUAUACAAGACUUGGCCAUUGAGGCCACAACACCUUAAGACACAACUAUAAUACAAUACCAACAUGAAUUUACCAAGGACUCAGUAAAGCUUCAAAUCAACCUGGAGCUCACCAAAAGUUGCACAGUGUCAUAUGCUCCUACUGAGAAAGGUCUACUAGUUGGAUUACAUGUGCCUGCAGCAUGAAUGCAGCGUCCCCCGUGAGGGACGCCAGUACAAAAAAAUGUACUUAUUAUGUAAGGCAAUAUAGCAUAUGUAAUAAGAGGGCUCAAAUGAAAUCAAGUAUCAACAUAUGAGUGCAUAGAUCAGGAGAAAAGACCACUUUUGCUUACUCUUGUGAGAUCAUGUAAGUUACAUUAUUUUCUUUACUUUUCUGUAUGUUAUAAUCUUUGUAGGGCAUGUGAUACAAGUGACCAGCUAAUCAGUGGUAGAAGAGGAUGACCCAUGCUAGGUAUAUUAGCCCCUUUGAUGCAGUCCUCAUAAUUACACAAUUUGGGAUGGGUCCAUGCUAGGCUUUCGCCACUUAAAUACCACCCUUCUAUACCAAUUGGUAUCGUCCCAUGAUAGACUUUAUCCCCUAAGCUACCACCCUUAUGUACUACUUGGGAUUGACCCAUUCUAGGCUUUCGCCCCUAGGCUGCCACCCGUAAUUAUAUAGAUUUCAUCACUUAGAUUCUUUAAUCUUUGAGAUUGUUGUUUAUCACUUUGUAAAACUUUUGGGAUCGCUUUUUCGAGAAUCGUAACUCUUUUAUUAUGUUAUUUGGUGGUCAUAAUAAUUUUGAAGAUAUGGAAGUAAAGGCCAGUAAUAGAAGACAUGAAAAAAAUACUUAAAGGCAAUAACAAUGACAUAAGGAUCCAUGUAACAUAAACACAUUAUUUAAGAGCUUAAUGACACAAUUAACUUCAAACAACAAAGAGGAGGAUUCACCAGACUUGCUUUUGAUAAUACCAUUUCUAUACCAGCCCGGGGGUGAAUAAUUACACAAGUACAAGAUAGUGAACAUAUAAAGAAGUAGUUCUAUGCACUAUAGAGAGGGGGGAAAUUUUGUUAGCUAUUUGGAGACAGUACGUUGUAACUAUGUUUCCUUUUCUAGGAAUAGAUUUUAUGAGAUUCACUUCAUUGGUAUUAAUCGCAAGUAUCAGAUUUCAUAGUCUUACAUACCUUAUCCUCAUAGUGAUAUACAAUUAUGAUUCAGCCUCCCCUUUAUGGUUUUAUUCUACAAUUUAAGUCAUGGCAAAUUAAAAUUAGCAGCUAUCACACCAUGAGCCUCGAAAAACAGUAGCUAACUUUGACAGAUAAUGAGACCAUAGAUCCCUCAACAUAAUGUGUAUCACCAUACCCUCAUUCUCUAUCCAUCACAUACAUUAUACAUCAUUUCCCCAAGAUCAACCAACUUGCGCCAACAGUAAUACACAUAGAACAGCCCCAAAUAUUCUUUAUCAUACAACCAACUAUUGAACUCACCACCCCCUUUAGUUCUUCAUGACAGCACAACUCUAAUUCCUCACUCAAACUCAUACACAAGGAAGACAAAAAUGUAGCAGUCACCUUACCUCAAUUUCGGCAACUUCUCCUUAUAACUUGAAUUCUUUUAGAACUUAUGCUUCCCUUCACACUUAAACCAAAGAAGAAAGAAAGGUAUUUCAAUAACUAAGGAAUUGAGCAGUAGCUGCUUGAAAUAUUCUGCCUUUGUAGUUAUAUUAGAGCAUGUAUAACAUGUCUCCUUAUCAUCCAUGGGAGAAUUAAGCUAAAUCCAUGAGUUUUCACUUACCUUGGUUUGCAGAUAUGAGGGUUUCUUCAAGAACCCUAGAAAACUUUAAGGUUGCUG